AAUGCCGUGAAGUUAAAAGGGCAAGUGGUGGCAUUACACAUGGAGUUUAAAUAAGACUUUAUUUGCUACUUAGGGAAAGAGGAAGCACCAAGAGAAUGCUUUGUUAGUUUUAUCUUUAGAGAAACCGUCGAGAUAGAGAAUAUAGGAAAACAGAAAGGAAAGCUUGGCAGGGUUGGCCCAGAGCAGUGAGAAACUAGCUAGGAUUACAAGUGUGCAGUUAAGCUGGAGAAGUAGAAGCCUUCACAAGAAGGCAGAAGUGGAGCAGAAAGCAGCCUAGCUGUAGAGGAAGUCAGUUUGAUCACGGGAUUUCCGCCAGAGACACUUCACACUGCAAAAGCAAGCGUGGACGAAGUGAGUGCUGAAGUCUUAAGGACUUAAGUCCUUGGCUCUAGGACGCCUUGGCUCCUUUCGCCCGAGUUUGACAGAGCGACUGAGCUCCC